UACGUAGGGUGCAAGCGUUGUCCGGAAUUAUUGGGCGUAAAGCGCACGUAGGCGGAUUGUUAAGUCAGGGGUGAAAUCCUGGAGCUCAACUCCAGAACUGCCUUUGAUACUGGCGAUCUCGAGUCCGGUAGGGGAGACUGGAAUUCCUGGUGUAGCGGUGAAAUGCGCAGAUAUCAGGAGGAACACCGGUGGCGAAGGCGGGUCUCUGGGCCGGAACUGACGCUGAGGAGCGAAAGCGUGGGUAGCAAACAGG
rnacentral:rRNA from 1 species